AAUGGAAAUUCUAACCAUUUUCUCUAUUCCAGCUUGUAGUAUUGUACAGAAGAAAGAACAGUUCUGCUGCUCACAAACGGCUCACUGUACUUCCAGUAUGCUUGAACAUGCAUGACUUGGUCGGCAACUUUGUACAGUUUUUGCUUCAUCCAUCUGAUAUGCCUUUUCCAAUAGAAAGGAAUAGCAGACACUUGAGAGGAAGACAGCAUGACCUAUGAGUAGGACACCAAGAGCCAUGCAAAGAAACACCAAGAGAAGACUUUUAAGCUUUAAGAGCAGGAGAUACUCACUCGUCCACUGAGCCAGCCAAGGGUUUCUUGGAUCUCUUUAUUGCAUAGAUGCAGCCAUCCAACCUCUUCACACAUUU